UAUUCGGAUUGAUAUUCGAAGGAAUCCGGUGCUUUCUCAACGAUUUCUGGGACUCCAUUUUCAGUGAUUUGGUUUCAGGCUGCGCAGAAAAGGAAGAAAUUCAAAAGCUAGGGUUGUAUAGUUGACCGUGUUUGUUGAACGACGACGAAGAAGAUGACAACCGGACUCUUCAAGUUCAUCCGCCCUGCCCUCCGUCCGCAAUCCACAGAUAUCCAGGCCGCCGCCACGUGGGGCGUCGCCGCCGGCGCCACCGCCAUCUGGCUUGUCCAGCCAUUUGACUGGAUCAGGAAGACAUUUUUUGAGAAAGAGCAAGAAGAAAAGUGAUCGAUAUUAUGUGAGCUAUUUGGUGUUGCUGCUGCUGCGGCGGCAAGCUCUGAGCGAGUUGAAUAAUACUCUGAACAUUUUCAUUUUGUUAUUGUUAGUACAAUGAUAAGUUUUUGUUGAUACCUCAGUUAACUUUGGGAUAUUGAUUCUUCAAAUAAUUGGAUUUCAUUCUUCUUUUUUACGUGGUUCCAUCAUUAUACCCCUUCAUGCAUCAUCCUUCUCCAAUGGUCUUGAAUGUUUAUCAUUAACCUUGUUAUGAACUCCUUUCACCCCAUACAAUAUGGCUUGUGGAGUAUCAAAUCUCACUAUUUGUUAUGAAACAAAGUCUAGUUUAGCUUUACAUGAUUGAUAGAUUGAGAUGGAAAAGGGAAGAAUAUUGUGUAACUUGCAGUGUACCCAUUUCAAUUUUAGCUUGUUUAUGAAUAUUGUUGGAGCUUUCGCCAUCUGUCAGAAAGAAAGCCCAGAAUAGUUUUCUUGAUCGAGUUUUGGUUAGGG